GAAUAUUUGUCUCACUAGAAAGAAUCCCACUCCCUAGGGACUCUGGUACUUUCUGGAUCUCAGCAUGCCUGCUCCUGGAGCUCUCCUAAGUGAGUGGGAGAUGUGACCUUAGAUUGAGAUUCUGGAAUCCAGCGGCAGCCAUGUGCACUGCCCCCCUGGUAUUGGGACUCUGGGCGUCCAGCAGGUCUUCAUUCUCUCACCUUCUUCUAACUGCUCUCCCACCCUGGUGUGCCCCCCACCCCGCACCCCAGGCUUUGCUACACAGAAGGAUGUUGCCACAUUACCUUCAGAAUGAACAGGACACUGAGAUUAGGAAGUUCUAGAUCAGAAGGAAGAAACCUGGACCUCUUCCCCACCCGAGUUCUUGUUGUUCUAGAGCACACCUCCAGCAACUCUACUUCCGACCAUCAGAACUGCUGCUCAAACAACCCCAGUGAUGAGAGCUCCAAGGAGAACCUGGUCAGCAGAUGCCCUCUCGAUGAGCAUAGUGGCUGGGAAAAUGGAUCUGAGGAGUAAAGGAAACGGCUGAUAAGAGCAACCAACAUGGGAAAAGUGCCAUCAGAAGUGACACUAUCUACUGUGCAGUGAAGCAGAGCAUUUUACAUGGUGAACGAAGGUUGUGACCGGACUGUGAGCAGCACAUGUCCCUGUGGUCCCUGUCACUGUGCUACUGGCUGCAAACCGUGUGUCUGCCAGAAUAAGAUAAGUAUUUGGACAACUUAGAAACCAAGCAAUAAAUCAUUAUCAGUGUCGUUUCAACUAUGUCAUGAGAAUGUGUUUUCAUCACUUAAAUACUAAUUGAAGACAUGUAAGAAGGAGGGUUUUGUUGAUCUGAGAAUCCAGUGCAUCAAAGGUAGUCAUCGGUGCUCAAACAAGAUGUGACACGGUUA